rnacentral:tRNA from 1 species
CGGGCAGUAGCUCAGUGGUAGAGCUCCCGCUUAGUAUUCGGGAAGGCCUGGGUCCGAUCCUCGGUUGCUUAC